CCAGCUGAAGGAACUCUGAAGCCAGCGAGAGCACCUGCACGACUACACAGGCACUGUAGUCACCCUCCUAACCAGCCACUGGGUCUAGCCUUAUAUUUCCUGUAACCCUGUGUGUGCCCCUCAGCCUUGUGGACUCUAUUUAGCAAGACACUGCCGGCGAUGGGAAGGCUGCUUUCAGUGAAGCCGAGCUCCUCUCUACAAUGCUGAGGUCCAGGAAACCUAACAACAGGAAGCCAAUCUAAAAUGAAAUCAAUGGAAAAUAAGUUGCAAACUGGGAGAAUGGAACAUGUCAUGAAGAUAUAUUAAAUGGAAGCAAGUGAUGGUGAAAUGAUAAGUGGUAACUGGGUUUUGUGAGGAUCUGCAAGGAAUACUAGGAAAGAAACCCUAUUAGCAGAAACGUAUGUGCUCUUCCAGCUACUGCCCACAAGUGGGAAGCCCUGCUUGUGUUGGCGAUGAUGGUAACAAAAUGGAGUAAAUACCCAGUGCAGCAGACAUUUGGGAAUGGCCGCCAUGUGUUAGAUAAUUGCAGGAGCACAAGAGGGAAAUCAGAUGUGCUGCGUGCAUUAAAAAGAUCCUGCUAUGUGUAGGAGAAAGGCUUAUGAAAUUGCCAUUGUUGGAAAUAUCAGGUUGUCAUCAUCUGGAGUGACAUCAGAUGCUGUCAAGAUCCCACCUCCAUAAUCAUUCUGUAUUAAUGAAAAAAAAGGAAGAAAUACCUAGUAUUGUUCUUGGAAUUAUACCUCAGGGCCAGGAACAGGAAGAAAGAAACAUAUUUUGUUGGGUGAUAUGGGGAUUGUACUGGCCAUUUUAUGUAUUAACUUCCAUCUAUUCUAUCUUCAUCUUUCUCCAGAUCAUUAAAGACUCACUCAU